AGGCAGUGUAGUUAGCUGAUUGUUCUCCUGGCUGCAAUCACUAACCACACUACCAAC
rnacentral:pre_miRNA from 1 species